ensembl:processed_transcript
UUUAGUACUUUUAAUGUGAUGUAGAAAGCAAAGUAGGGCUUUAUAUCUCUGCCUGCACACAAAUAAAGCAGAUUCAACAUGAAGGAAUGGAGCUCAAAUACAGUCUAGAAACAUGGAGAUGAUGUUGGAGAUCAUGUGCCAAAUGAAAAAGACAUUUCUAUAAAGCAAGACAUGACAAAACUGGGCCUCAAAUGAGUUGAAGAGACAAAUGAAGAUGAUGAUUGUAAGUUGUAACACAAACAGACAGUGCUGUAAUUCUCCCACUGCAGUCUUCUCUUUCCUCCACAAACACAGCCUAUUUUCCUGCUCUCUUUCUUUCUCUCUCUCUUUCUUUCUUUCUCUCUUUCUUUCUUUCUUUCUCUCUUUCUUUCUUUCUCUCCUUCAGAACAGCUGCUUUGUCCUCUUUCCAGUGCAGUAAUAUUCCAGCUGUGUUUGUUCUGCUCUAAAUCUCUCCAAUUCUCCACACUAAAGUCCUGAAUCUGCGCAUUUGAGGGAAACUUGUGCUCCUGAAAUGCUGCAGUGAUGCUGCUGUGAUUUCUGCCUGUUUGUGUUGAUCUUUAUUCCUGAAGGCUCUUUUUCUUCUUCUGCACACAUUAAGCUCUUCUGCUGACGGCGGCGUAAGUCACUGAGUCAUUACCAUCAUCAUCACUGGCUGAUUUCUCCGGCUUUUUCCCAGCACAAGUGACCUCAGAAUAAGUGACUGAAUCCUCCGUCUGCUCAUGGGCUCUGGCAGCAGGAUUAAUGGACAUGUGGAUUGUUUGAUAGUGGACUUGAUUCUCAUCUUUGACCGCUGAUUCACCGCUCGCUCUUUGAUGAGCUGCUGAGGAUUGAGGAGAAAACACAACAGAAAGUCUACUGGUUUCCAUUACAGACAGCAUUAAAAGAUCCCAGAGCAUCAGAUUUGAGGCAUUAAAAGCAGCACAUUGUCCUGGUUUGUGCUGUGUUUGGCCACAUUCUCCAUUAGGAUUGACUGCUUUUAACAGGCCACCAAUAGAAGGCAGAAAAUGAGGCACAUGAGCAAUAGAGUCUCCAUUAAAAGCAAUGGAAUCUCCAUUGUGCGCAUUGUGAGCAGUAGUUUGCCAUGAGCUCUUCUUCAGUGGUGUUUUGUUGUUUGCUCAGGGAUCAGGAAUGUUGCUCUUGUUUUCUGCUCAUUAAAGUCAAGUGUUUGUAAUUGGAGUAAAUGUGAGACUCACCAGCUCUUCUUCUGCGCUGGAUCAAACACAGAACAGCAGCGAUGAAAACAGCCAAAGCAGCAGCAGAAAGCAGAACUGAAAGCAAUCAUCAUCAUCAUCAUCAUCAUCAUCAUGUACCGUUCGAGGUUACUAAAGUAACCCUUCGUUCCCCGAGGAGGGGAACUCCAGCACUAU